AAUAGAUACCCAGGUAGUCCACGCCGUAAACGAUGAGUGCUAAGUGUUAGAGGGUUUCCGCCCUUUAGUGCUGCAGCUAACGCAUUAAGCACUCCGCCUGGGGAGUACGGCCGCAAGGCUGAAACUCAAAGGAAUUGACGGGGGCCCGCACAAGCGGUGGAGCAUGUGGUUUAAUUCGAAGCAACGCGAAGAACCUUACCAGGUCUUGACAUCCUCUGACAACCCUAGAGAUAGGGCUUUCCCCUUCGGGGGACAGAGUGACAGGUGGUGCAUGGUUGUCGUCAGCUCGUGUCGUGAGAUGUUGGGUUAAGUCCCGCAACGAGCGCAACCCUUGAUCUUAGUUGCCAGCAUUCAGUUGGGCACUCUAAGGUGACUGCCGGUGACAAACCGGAGGAAGGUGGGGAUGACGUCAAAUCAUCAUGCCCCUUAUGACCUGGGCUACACACGUGCUACAAUGGAUGGUACAAAGGGCUGCAAACCUGCGAAGGUAAGCGAAUCCCAUAAAGCCAUUCUCAGUUCGGAUUGCAGGU
rnacentral:rRNA from 1 species